GACGAACUGUGCAAACGUUAUUCGGAAUCACUGGGCUUGAAGAGUGCGUAGGCGGUUUCGUAAGUAGGGUGUGAAAGCCCUCGGCUCAACCGGGGAAUUGCGUCCUAAACUGCGAGGCUGGAGUGAGGUAGGGGUGUGUGGAACUUCCAGUGGAGCGGUGAAAUGCGUAGAUAUUGGGAAGAACACCGGUGGCGAAAGCGCUCUGCUGGACUGCAACUGACACUGAGGGACGAAAGCUAGGGGAGCGAAAGGG
rnacentral:rRNA from 1 species